AUGCUACUCCCUUCGUCCGAAAAUACUUGUCAUCAAAAUGAAUAAAAAGAGAUGUAUCUAAAACUAAAAUACAUCUAGAUACAUCCUCUUUUAUUCAUUUUGAUGACAAGUAUUUUCGGACGGAGGGAAUACAAA
rnacentral:pre_miRNA from 1 species